AAGUCGUAACAAGGUUUCCGUAGGUGAACCUGCGGAAGGAUCAUUACCGAGUUAGGGUCUCCUCCGUGAGGCCCGAUCUCCCAACCCCGUGUCUAAUAAACCUGUUUGUGUUGCUUCGGCGGAACGGCGGUGGUCAGCAAUGACCGUCCGUCGCCGGGGGGCUUACGGUCUCACGACCGCCCCUGGAGAGCGUCCGCCGAUGGCCCCAACCAAAACAACUACCAAACCCAAAUUGUGAAAUAAACAUAUUCUGAAUCAGAUUUUGAUAAACAAUCAAAAACAAAACUUUCAACAACGGAUCUCUUGGUUCUG
rnacentral:misc_RNA from 1 species